rnacentral:lncRNA from 1 species
AAUUUGCAGUUCUGACAUUGGGCAUCAUCUUUCUUCUCCUUAAACAGAUGCAAAUUAAACCAUCUAUUUUGAUUUCUGUUUCUGUAUGUCUUCUUCUUCUUUGUUUUUUGGAAUAAAUGUUGCCUGACUUCAUUUAGCCUUCAAAAAGUUUAUAAAGUCAUUUUAUGGUCCUGCCUGUUUCUGUGAUUUUUUUUUUCUUAUGGUUUCACUGUGAUUAGUACUUCUUUAUGCAAUAAAUUCACUGUGCGGUACUUUUAGGUGACAAAUCCAGCAAUUGACCCUCUCAGAGAAGGAUUAGUCAUGUCUCUUGAAGUCAAUAUUGGAAAGCGAAGAAAUAUAUUAGACAUAGGACCUGAGAAUGCCUCACAGGUUGGCAAGCUUUCUUCUUUCGUUCUUUGUAUUAAUUUUAUAUGUUAUAGGUAUCAGAGAGUUCUUCCUUCUCAGUUUAAUCUUCUCGUGUUCUAAUUGCCUACUCAAUAUUGACCAGGUAACUUUGUCUAGUCCUGUUUUGAAUGAAGGAGAGCUUGAAUCCUUGCUAAAGGAUCCGUACUUGAAGGCCCAAGUAUUGCCAACAUUUUUCGAUAUACGUAAGGGUGUUGAUGGUUCUCUGGAAAAAAUUCUAAACAGACUUUGUGAUGCUGCUGAUGAGGCUGUUCGCAAUGGUUCUCAACUGCUUGUUCUAUCUGAUCGGUCUGAAGAGCUUGUAAGAACUAUUCCGGGUUUUAUUUGUUUCUGGAAGACUUUGUCUAUAUAGUUUCUGUUUCCAACCUAGAAAAUAAUGAUAAUGCACUUGAACUAUAUAUAUGUUUUGCGAUAAGAAAGAUAUUAGACAUAGGACUUGAGAAUAAUGCACCUGAGCUACAUUUGCACAGUGACAGAUCCAAAAAUUUUGUUCAUGGAGGGCUUAAUUCAGUAAAAAUAAUCUAAAAAACAAAUGUGAAGAGUGAGGCUUGAACCUAAAUCUGUAGGACGCUGGAAGUAAGAUAUACCACUGGGCUAGCUUAUAGUAUUAAUACUAUGUCAGUUAAUAUAUUUAUAUAUGAUAUAAACAGCAUAAAGCUGAGAGUGGACUCUUAUAGUAAAUUCGACAGUGUUUGCAUGGAACAAAAUUUUAAUCUGUGUUGCUAAUGUUGUGCUUAGAUUUUUUUUCUGCACGUUUAAUAUAUUUUGUUUUUCUUGUUCACUAGCACUACGAUUUUCUGUAUUACAUCCUUCUCUUUACCUGCUUUAUUUAUUAUUAUUAUUAUUAGUUUGCUCACAUUUCGUUGGGUUCCAUCUAUUCUUGAAUCUUUUUGCCAUGUAUUUUGAACAUUCGCCAAUUUUUGAAACGUUUUGUUUCCUUUCAAAAUAAUUAUUAUUACUAUUAUUCAUUGUCCUUGAAGGUUACCUUAUUUUGUGCUGUAUGUCCCUUUUAGGAAGCUACUCGCCCAGCAAUUCCAAUUCUUCUUGCUGUUGGUGCUGUUCAUCAACAUCUUAUUCAAAAUGGCUUGCGAAUGUCAGCUACUAUAGUAGCAGAUACCGCUCAGUGCUUCAGUACCCAUCAGUUUGCUUGUUUGAUUGGAUAUGGUGCAAGGUAAUUUUCAUUCACUGUAAUUUUCUUAGAUCCAUUUAACGUCGAUGUUUCUUAGGAUUGAAUUAGCUAUGAGAAAAAAUUGCCUUUUGUGUUAUUUAACAAUCAAAUCAUUGAUUGUUAAUUAUAUGAUUAUAUUUAAUUUUGAAUAAGCCCAUGUCCAAGUGAUAAAAGAAAAUACAAGAGGAUUACCUGCCGUAUUCCUUCAUUCAUUCAUUGUUAUUAUUACUCAUUGUCCUUGAGGGUUAUAUUUUAACUAUGAUAAAAGAAAAUACAAGAGUGUAGAGAGAGAAAAAAGUUAGAAAGAGUUAAAAAUAAGAUGUUGAGUGGUCGGAAUAGAGAGAAAGCACAAGAGAAGAAAAGUUUUUGAGAGAAGCAGAAAUGUAAACAUUAGAUGAAGAACAAAAAGAGAAGAAAAAUCGUAGAAGGCAUAAAAGGGGGAAAAAGCGAAGAAAGAAGGAAGACAAGAUGAAGUAGAGAAUUUUUGUAGGAAAAGCCCAUUGUCAAGUGGGGUUUUAUCAAGUUGUAAUUGUAAAGGAUGUGUUAAUUGGAUUUUGAUGGGAUACUGGAUGUUAAGUUUUCUUUAUUUAUCUUACUUUUAUUUUUGUUUAAUAAUAGGGUUGAGGGUUGACAAUUUCAGAAUUUUACUUAUGUUUUGUUACGUUGAUUUUGGUAAUGUGUUUCUGGCAAUUGGAAACUUAAGACAGACAUCCAAAUUGAUGUUUGGUAGUUUGUCCACUGGAAAGUGGGUGGGUGGUUUCUCAUUCCCAAUAGAGGACGAUGUUAUAGUUUUCUUCCUUUUGCGGGUGUAGAGGACAGGAAACAUUGUAACUAAGAACAAAGAGCAAACAACAUCAAGGCACUUUACAAGUGUCAAUAGUUGUGGUCUUAAGCCUUCAAAUGGCUACCAUUGGUGUCUUUUGUCUUUGAUAGUACAAAAGAUAUCUGGAGGGUUUGGUCUUUUGUCUUGAAAGAUUCACGUGGAACGUAGUUAAGGUGAUUGCAAGGACUAGUUUGAAAAUCAUAUGAUAAUCUGGACCAGGUGCACGCUGUUGGUUUACAUUUUGGCGAGAAAUCUUGUGUAGUUUUACUCUCUCUCUCUCUCUCUCUCUCUCUCUAAAUUCAAUUCUCAUUGAGCAAAAAAUGGAAGAAAAAUGUCCUCUUUGUGUUGUCUGUUCUCUUUUUGACAGCUUUAUUUUUGGUUUUGUUGUUUGAAUUUUAUUUGAUAUCUUAUAUUUUGAGAAUUAGUCUCUUUUCACUAAUUCAAUGAAAAUAGUUGCUUCCAUUUAAAACAGAAAAACAAGGGCAUGCGACAAAAAAACACAAAGAAAAGGGGACCUCCAUCCACAAAAAGGGUCUCUAAUUAUGUAAAAUAACUAUAAAAGAAAAACUACAAAAGAUCUUGUAAAUCGAAGACCAAAUAGAAACAUGAAAGCGAACUAGGGACCAAACCUCACUGGGGUCUAUUUCCACCCACUAAAGACGGCUAUUCUGCUCACACCACAAAAUCCAUAAGAUUCCACACCUUAACAAGCAAUAAAAAGUAAACCUUCUCCCCACGAGGCGGCUUGAGAAAGACUUCCUCGAUUACAACAAUGGUGUCCCUGUGGCAAUCAUGCAAGCUGCUAAACUUCUGGAAGAAAAGUCCCAAACAGAACUCACAAAAUCACAAUGCUAAAGAGGCCUAUUUUCUUAUUUUUCUUACUCAUAGUAAUUAAAAUAUUAAUCUUUUUGAAGCCUGUAUUUUUUAUUUUGUAAAUAAUUAAUUUGGAUAGAAUUAUUUCUAUAUUAGUUAUGACAUCAAAUGGUUCAUGAGUAAAGAUGCAGCAUAUUACAGCUUAAAAUCAUCUUUUCAGUGCUAUAUGCCCAUACUUGGCUCUGGAAACCUGUCGGCAUUGGCGUCUUAGUAACAAGACUGUAAAUUUGAUGAAGAAUGGAAAGAUGCCUACUGUAACUAUUGAACAGGCUCAAAAGAACUUUUGCAAGGUUUGGGCUCUUGUAUUAAAGGACUUAUUUAAAUGGGUUGACCUUUUAUGUUUUAAUCCAACCCUUGACUUAGUUCAGUUAGAUCACUCUCUGUUGAAAUGUUGUCUUUGGAACUGAUCCGUGUUGUUGCUGUGCUUUCGAUGCAUAUCCAACUCAAUUGCUCCACCACUCAGGCUGUGAAGUCUGGUCUUCUCAAAAUUCUUUCCAAAAUGGGCAUUUCUUUACUAUCAAGGUAUAGUUAUAUUUUCCCCUGUUCUGUCUGUUUCUAAGAAGUUGUUUACUUCAUUUUGUCCAGUAACUCUAUGAAGUUUUUGACAACUUUUUUUUUUGUUUUUUGUGCUUAGCUAUUGUGGUGCACAAAUAUUUGAAAUCUAUGGAUUAGGAACUGAGGUUGUAGAUUUUGCCUUUCGUGGGAGCAUAUCAAAAAUUGGUGGGUUGACGUUUGAUGAGGUAACUAGUAUUAUCUGAGGUUAACCUGAAUUUGUUUUUAUGGAUGAGGGAGGAAUUCAUCAGGGUAGCAAUUGAAAUGCUGCUUCAGAACUUAGAUUUUCAUUUUUCUUGGAAUUUUUAUUUUAAUUUCCUUCGAUUUUAGAAUUUUGGUGGGCCAUUUUCAAAUAUAGCAAGAUUUUUUUUUAAAAAAGGAGACAUGCUUCUUUAUUAAUAAUAAUACUUGAAAUUAAAUCUAUUUACCAACUAUAGUAAAACCAUUAAAUUCUCUUUAGCUCAUUUAAGUUUUUUUUUGCUAUAAUUUGUAAAUAGUUUCAACUUUUUGCUAUUUAUGAUAAUUCCUCAAUUUUGGAUGGGAUCUAUUAAUAUUCAUUUGUGAGGAUAUUGUCUUUAAACAGUAUGCUAGUAGACAUUCUCGACUUUGGUUUAAUAUGCAAAUUGUGUGAUAGUAUUCUUAAAGAGGCAUUUGCAAAAAUAGCAAAAAAAUGUAUGAUAAUAGGGCACAUGUUACUACAAAUUGCAAAAGUAGUAAAUUUAAAAGCAGAUAACCUUUUGAUAGCUCUCCAAUAGCCCUUUGAUAGUCAUCUGAUAACUGUCUAAUAUCAUUAAUUACUUCAUAUUUUUCAUAUUCACAAUAUGCAAAAAAAGAGGUGCUAUGAGCUGUUUUUUGCUAAAUUUUGUUGUCAUCUGAUGCAAUUCCUCAUUCUUAAAUUGCUCUAGGCAUGUAAUUGGUUGUCGGGUUAGUGUGACUGGUAUUAUCGAACUCUUAAGAUAGAGUUUGAAGUUUUCAGCCAUUUUGUGUCUCAUUCUAAAAUAUUUUUCAAUCCUGUGCUGCAGUUAGCCAGGGAGACUUUGUCUUUCUGGGUGAAGGCAUUUUCUGAGGAUACAGCUAAGAGGCUAGAAAAUUUUGGAUUUAUACAAUUCAGACCAGGAGGUAUGUGCUAACUUUCAAACUUGGCAAAACUGAAAUCAAGAUUUGUAUAUUGAGUGCAUAUCAAUUUCGUAUGAUUAAUAAGCAAUCAAGACUUGUAUUUUCUUCAUGUGCCAAUGCUACUGUUAUUCUUUUAAAUAAUUGUUGGAGUGCCUUUUAUCAUUAUGAUUAAAAGUUAAUUCAAAGUUCAACCGUUAUUCCCUUUCUUUUUUUGUGUGUGUGUUGGCAUAUGGUUAUAGUUCUUUUUGGUUGCUUGGAGGAAAAAAGAGGUUCUUAAGAAUCGUGUUUUUGUGUGAUAAAGGGGAGUAUCAUGGAAACAACCCUGAGAUGUCAAAGUUGCUCCAUAAAGCUGUGCGUCAGAAAAAUGAGAGUGCUUAUGCAGUAUAUCAGCAGCAUUUGGCUAAUCGGCCAGUGAAUGUAAGUGCUGAAGACAUAUUUUAGUCUCCCCCUUCAAGGAUUUAACAGAAAUUUCUGAGAUUAAAGAAGUUCUAUUUUGAAGUUAACUGGACUACUGGAGUUUAAAUUUUCUUCUUAAAUCAUACAGGUUCUUCGCGAUCUUCUGGAGUUCAAAAGUGAUCGUGCUCCAAUUCCUGUGGGAAAGGUUGAACCAGCAGCAUCUAUUGUUAAACGCUUUUGCACCGGUGGAAUGUCACUUGGAGCUAUUUCAAGAGAAACUCAUGAAGCGAUUGCUAUUGCAAUGAACAGAAUUGGUGGUAAAUCCAAUUCAGGAGAAGGUGGUGAGGUAGUUUAUUAUAUGCCUGUUUCAUAGAUCUUACUGUAUUGUUAUCUACUCUUUAAGCAGCAUUAAGAUUUAAGACAAUAGGAAAAGUACUUCCAAACAUAACGGCUUCCCCAACAUUAUUAUUAUCCAGGAUCCCAUUCGUUGGAGACCACUAGCAGAUGUUGUUGAUGGGUAUUCUCCAACAUUGCCACAUCUUAAAGGCCUUCAGAAUGGUGAUACUGCUACUAGUGCUAUUAAGCAGGUAACACCUUUAAACUUCACACUUAUCAGACUAUAAUUUGUAUAAAAACCCUGAUCAUGGGAUAUUUUAGGCACCUUAUUAAUACUGUUUUCAUUCUUUUAAUUAUUGCACCAUGAACUUCUUAAAUCACCAAUUGAUCCAAAAGGUUAAACUGAAGGGUAAAUGGUAAAUUUAGUAUAUUAUCUAACACUCUCCCUUACUUGUGGACUUGAAAUAUGAAGAAAGGCCCAACAAGUGGAAAUUAAUAUUAAUUGGGGAGGAAACAACAACGUAGGGGCUAGAACACAUGAUCUCCAUGGACCUAAUGUUGCAGUUCUCUAGUUAAGAACUUGAUGUAUGGUGUUACUGUACACUUUUAUCCUAUGUAGAGAUAUAUAGCCAAGCCAACUCACAGUAGAAAAUUGAUGGAAUGUUGACGAAGUAAAUUUAGCUGCACUUUCUUUCUAAAUUGUGGUUUACUUUAUUUUCAGGUUGCUUCUGGGCGUUUUGGUGUCACUCCAACAUUCUUGGUCAAUGCUGAUCAAUUAGAAAUCAAAAUUGCACAAGGUGCAAAGCCUGGUGAAGGUGGCCAAUUACCUGGAAAGAAAGUUAGUGCUUACAUUGCGAGGUUGAGAAAUUCCAAACCUGGUGUUCCGCUUAUAUCUCCACCACCUCAUCAUGACAUUUAUUCUAUAGAGGAUCUUGCACAGUUGAUAUUUGACCUUCAUCAGGUAGUUUUCCGUGGCUUGCUGAAUAUAGUCACUUUACAUUAGUGACAAGAUGCUUCUGGAAUUUUUAUGAAAGCCAUUGUCCAUUUCAUGAAAAAAAAAACAGGUGAACCCAAAGGCUAAGGUAUCAGUGAAGCUGGUUGCUGAAGCUGGAAUUGGAACAGUGGCUUCUGGGGUUGCCAAGGGUAAUGCUGAUAUCAUACAGGUACCCCAUUUCAAAUUUCUAUCAAUAUAUGGAGCAGUCCGUAACUUAUGUGCUACAGCUGAUGUUCUAUACAAGUCGUCUGGUCUCAAUCUCUCUACAUUUGGGAGAUCAUAUGGGUGCCCUAAACAAUCAUGCAAUAUUGAGAUCUUUAAUAUUUAGGAAAGGAAAGAUGAGCUUGGAUGAUAUGCAGGCUUUCAUUCUCUUUUAGUUCUGAAUUUUUAAUAUUUUAGUCCAUCGAUUUGAUUGAUUCAUGUAUCUUAUAUGCCUCGCAGAUAUCAGGGCAUGAUGGUGGAACAGGAGCUAGUCCUAUAAGUUCCAUUAAGCAUGCUGGUGGUCCUUGGGAACUGGGACUGACAGAAACACAUCAGGUUUCAUGUUCAUGAUUUUAUUAGUAAUCAUUACUUUUUCUGUUUUGGAAGGUAUGGUUUGUGAUAAUUGAAUGAUGAUAUACAGACCCUCAUUGAAAAUGGACUUAGAGAAAGGGUCAUUCUUAGAGUUGAUGGUGGCUUCAAAAGUGGAUUUGAUGUCUUAAUGGCCGCAGCAAUGGGUGCAGAUGAAUAUGGUUUUGGUUCAGUUGCCAUGAUUGCUACUGGUUGUGUGAUGGCCCGCAUAUGCCACACUAACAACUGCCCAGUUGGUGUUGCCAGUCAGGUAAUGCAUACAAAGUUACGCAACUUAGAGGCUGUUUUGAAAGUUGUUUUUGAAGCUGCCUUUCUAUUUUUGAUCUGGAACUGUGGGAAAUGACUUGUAAGAGUUAACGUUAUUGUGGUCAGUACUAGCAGUUCAACCUCUUCUUCAUAUUUGUAUGAGGUUUGAUAUACGACUAACUACUACUAUAUCUUGCUUUUUUCAGAGAGAGGAGCUACGUGCACGUUUUCCUGGUGUACCUGGCGAUCUUGUCAACUAUUUCCUUUAUGUUGCCGAGGAGGUUAUUUCUCUUCCUAUACUCUAGUUUUCCAUUUGUUAAUAAUUCAUUUUGCAUUCUUUAUAGAUCUAAAUCUUGGAAGUUUGUUUGUUCCAUUUUGUUAAUUUUCUCUCCCAGUUUUUUGUUCUGUGGUGUGUGAAUCUAAUAUUAUUGUUUGUUUCAGGUAAGGGGUACAUUGGCCCAGCUGGGAUAUGAGAAGUUGGAUGAUAUAAUCGGACGAACCGAAUUAUUAAGACCCCGAGAUAUCUCUUUGAUGAAGACACAACAUCUCGAUCUUGAUUAUGUUCUUUCUGUAUGUAUUUAGAUGGAAUCAUUUUAACUUUUGUGUUUUGCAUACUAAGUGUUAUUAUAGGAUUAGAUCACCAUGCGAUUAUGCUCUUGUUUAUUAGUGUUGUUAUAUAACAUUCUUAAACUUAUUUCUAGAAUGUUGGAUUACCAAAAUGGAGCAGUACUGAAAUCCGCAAUCAAGAUGUUCACACAAAUGGUCCGCUUCUGGAUGAUACCCUACUUUCAGACCCUCAGGUAUGAAUGAAGUUGAUGGAUUGCACAUCUUUUGUUUUUAUAUUAUCCCCCAAGUUGCCUCUUCCUUGUUUUAGAAACAAAAUACUUCCGCCUAACUAUCACUUUCUGUUAUAUGAAUAUCCCACUGAUCAUGCCGCACGUUCUAUUUCAUUAGUCUAUAGCCUUCUGUAUCUGUUUGAGGUGCUUUUAAACUCUUUUCUUGUUAAUGUUUUUUGUUAAGAGAUUGUUUGUAAUUGAUAGGCUUUUAUGGGUUUUAUUUUGAAAUUAUAAAAUGAAACAAGAAUUUAAGGAACUCCUUAAGGGAGGGUACUUCAUCUUAAGCGAUGCUACGUAAUGCCUAGCUGCACUAGGCAUGUUUAUUUGAGCUAUGUAUCCAGUAACCUUUUCUUGGUGGCAUCCUGCAAGUUUGCGCUUUAUAUAUUUCACUUUUUUAGCUCAAGGGAAUUAUUGACUUGACACUAGGUACUUUGUACAUUUUCAAAGAGAGGAAUGUGCAAAUUUUGUUCACUAUCUUUUCUAUUAGCAACCACUUUCACUUUCAAAGAACUUGUGACAAGUGAAAAGAUAUUGGCUGAACUUAUCUGACUGUGUUCUGAUUAUUCUUUUGGUUUUUUCGCUUUUUUUCCCUUCCAAUAUAUGUACCCAGAUAUUAGAUGCAAUUGAGAAUGAGAAAGUAGUAGAAAAGACAGUGAAGAUUUACAAUGUUGAUCGUGCUGUUUGUGGGCGUGUAGCAGGGGCGGUUGCCAAGAAAUAUGGUGACACUGGUUUUGCUGGCCAACUGAACAUUACGUAUGAUGCAAAUUUUAAAGAACUAUUACUUGUGUCAGAUGUGUUGGUGAAUACUAAUUUCUUUCAUUUAUUCAGGUUCACAGGUAGCGCUGGACAAUCAUUUGCAUGCUUUCUUACGCCUGGAAUGAACAUUCGGCUUGUAGGAGAGGCCAAUGAUUAUGUGGGAAAGGUAUUUCAAAUAUUCUUACACCGGAAAGUUGAUGUCUUAAGUACAAAUGAAACAACUUAUUGAAAAGAAGAAAAUAGGUUAUACGUGGAAAACCCUAGUACAAAAAGAAAAAAACACGAUAGAAGCCGCUUUUAUUUUUUUCUAAUAAUCAAAACAGUACAAGAGGGCAGAAUACAUAUAGGCUAUAAUAAGCCCUGACAAAAAAAAGAAAAGAAAUAAAACUAGGGUACAAUAAAUUACACAAAUACCUUUGGGGCUAUAAACACUCCACUAGCCCCUAAUUUCGAACAAACUUUAUUUUCAACCUCAUGUUUGCCAUGCUAUUUUUCUGAACUUUGGAUGAACGGAAACUAUUACCUUUACAAUAAGCAGUUAGAAGCUUCUCCCUUUUAGAUUGUGCAUAGGUUGUAGAAUAGUUUUAAUGACAUUCGAACUUGUCAGAGUGCAGGUGAAAAUAUCUUGCUAUUCUACAACCUACGCAAAAUCAAUGAAAAAUUUUGUUUCUUGUUAUACAUUGAUACAUAUUGCUUCUUUUCAUAUUGUAAAUUACAUGCGAUAUUUUAUUUGUUUUAAUGACUUUAUGCAUGAACAUUAUAUGGUUUCUUACUCCAAUUAUUUAUAUUUGCAAGGGUAUGGCGGGAGGUGAAUUAGUUGUAACUCCAACUGAAAUUACCGGAUUUGUUCCUGAGGAUGCAGCCAUAGUGGGGAAUACAUGUCUGUAUGGAGCAACUGGCGGUCAGAUUUUUGUUAGAGGAAAAGCUGGGGAGAGGUUUGCGGUCAGAAAUUCACUUGCUCAGGCAGUGGUUGAAGGAACUGGUGACCAUUGCUGUGAGUACAUGACUGGUGGCUGUGUGGUUGUACUUGGCAAGUAUGUAUUUUCGCUUUAUCCAAAUUAUACGGCAGUACUUUGGUUGCUCUAGAGAGCACUAUAUUGACCAUUUUUCUAAAAAAAUUGCGCCAAACCUAUUUAGAGUGGGAAGAAAUGUAGCUGCUGGAAUGACUGGAGGCUUAGCUUAUAUUCUGGACGAGGAUGAUACUCUUAUUCCGAAGGUUUUUGCUCCUCAUUCUAGUCAAUCUUUACCUAUAAUUGCCAACCUUGUGUUUUUUCCUCUACAUGAAGCUUUGUUGUUUAUUUGUUAGGACUCGUUGCUAUCUAACAUGCACAAGUAAUUUCUCUAAUGUACCUCCAGGAUAUUAACUCACGACGGAUUGCUAUUUAUUUAUUUUCAAAUUUUGUUUUCUUGUUCUUGAGUCAGUACUUAAAAGGACUUUGCUACCAUAUAUUAUGUGUAUAUAAUGUUCUUUAUUUUCCUUAGAUUCCUCCCUAUUAUUAACACAUCAGAACAUUUAUUUCUUGUGGAAAUAUGAGCAGGUUAACAAAGAAAUUGUAAAGAUCCAGAGAGUAACGGCUCCAGUGGGGCAGAUGCAGCUGAAGAGCCUGAUCGAAGCCCAUGUUGUAAGUGCUUUCCAAUUCACAAUAACUCCAAACAUUUGAUGAUGGAACUGUCGAUUCCCAUUUGAAUCACUAUCUAAAUAUCUGUUAAUGAACUGGGACAUCUAAUUGUGAUUGACCAAAGUUUAAAUUGAUUGAUAGGAUAUGGUAAUUUAAUUAUAUCAAAUACACUUUUAAUACCUUCUUACUCGUGGGCUUGAAAAUUUAUAAUAUUACAUACGUUAGUUCAGCUUUGAUAUCAUGUUAAAUCAUCAAUUGACUAAAAAGUUUUAACUAAUGUGAUAUGGUAUAUUUAAUUAUAUCUCUACUUUAACCCUGAUUCUUUUGAUAAAUAGGAAAAAACUGGUAGCAGCAAAGGCUCCACGAUCCUGAGCGAGUGGGAAACUUAUUUACCGCUCUUCUGGCAACUGGUUCCACCUAGUGAGGAAGAUACCCCCGAGGCUAGUGCUGAGUAUGUAAGAACAGCUACUGGAGAAGUGACCUUUCAAUCCGCCUAAUGGAUCAAGGCAACAAUUGCUUUGAUCAUGAUUAAUUUGCAAACGCUGCAACUCUACGACAUCUGGAUUAGGAAUGUGGAUGGUACGAAAAACAUUCACACAUAACUCGACAGCAAAGGCUAUGUGACUUGGUGGUGAAGUAACCAUGAUCUACCACCAUUCAGCAGUGUAAGCCAUUCUCUUGUAUUGAUCCCUUUGUAAAUAUCAAUUUGCAGCAUAAAAAUAAAAUGUAGAUUUCAUGUAGUUUAGGGUUUCUCAAUUCUUGUUGAAGCAAAGCAUCUGUUUAUACUGUCAUUCAAAAUAAAUUUAGGCUCGGCUCAUUAUUAUUGGCCAUUGCUUUCUUUUUUUUCUGGCUAAAUGUGCUUUUUGGCAUUUCAGGUUUGAAAUUCUCUGAUUAUUUUGUACUCAUAUUCUCUGAAUAACAUCAAACGAACAAUGUCUAUUCUUAUACACUGCUCUUGAAUGGUUUUGUGUUGAAAUGAAAUUAUUUGAUUGAAGUACUUUUCCUUGAUUUUGGAACCAGGGGUGGAAGUUUUCCAUUGUUUAAUCUUGCUGGCUGGCAAAUGUUUUGAGUUUAGUUUUUAUUUAGUUUUUAUUUGCUGGCUGGCAAAUGUUUAGGCCUCUUUUGAUAACUAUUUUAUUUUUGUUUUUAGAAAUUAAAUGUAUUCCCUCUUUAUGUCUUACAUUAAUUUGCAUGACUAGAAUUUUUAACCAAGUUCCAAUAACAAAAACAUACUUUUUUUUUUUGUUUUCAAAUCUUGUCUUAGUUUUUUAAACCAUUGGUAGAAUAUUAGAUAACAAAAAAAGGGGGGUUUGUGGUAGAAGUAGCAUCUAUAGGUUCAAUUUUAAAAAACAAAAUGAAUAUCAAAUAUGUCAAUAUUUUUAUGAGUUCACCGGAUGAAACAAAUACUUAUAUGGUUAUUUAUUUGAGUUAAACAAUUACAAAAAAGGACGUGAAACUUAAUCUAAAAUUUUAAAACAUGGGUACAUGUAUCACUGAUACGAUAUGCUCACCCUAAGAAACACAUCCAUUGUUUCCCUGGUUUGUCGUUUCAAAUUUAUUGCUAAAAGACAAACGUUAGGCUGAUAUAUUAAGGUCAACUAGUUCUUUAUACUACUGAUUCUCAUUAUUAUAAUACAUAUGACAUUCUAUCUAAAUUUUUGUUUUUUUCUCUAAUGGUUAAAUAAUUUAUCUAUUGAUGUAGAGGGGAAGGGUUUAGAUAAUAUCAUGACAUUAGCCCAUGUUGGAAAAUAAAAUCUUAAAUUCAAAAUUGACUGAAAGAGGGGAGAUGCAAUGCAUUUUGAAAAUAACUCAUUUUUGUCAGAGUUUGUUUUCCUUUUUUGUUUUUUCUUCUUCCCAAAAACAAUACUAAUCUUUCAUUUAAAACAAAGUUACCAAACAAAAUUGGUCAGAGGUUUGGAACAAAAACAACAAUAAAAACAAAAGUUUACAAUGAUCGUCUGAAUUGCCAAGUUGUAGGUUUUGGUUGAAAGAUUCUAAGCCAAACACGUUUGAAUUAUCUUCAACACAUCCAUUAAUAUAAAUGAUAUAUGGUGUAUUUUUAGUUCAAAGUACAAAUUGGAAAUUCAAGCUUUUAAUCUUUUGGUUGAGAUUACCUAAGCUAAUUGAGAUAUACAAAUUUGUAUUUUUUUUUCUUUUUCUUGACUUAACAAUCAAAUUUAUUGUAAGCUUAAAUAAGUUUAUUUUUAAAAUAGUAGUUAAAAAAAUGCCAGUUGAAAAUAUAUUAGUAUGUAGUCAGUGGUUCUGAAUUUGAGUAUAACCAAGUAGAUAAAAUACCUAUAAUUAUAUAUCUUAGAUGUCAUUUUGUUAGGUGCCCUGUACCCAUUAUUGUUGUUGAACUAUAUAAAAAAGUUUGGUUAGUAAUUAACCACGAUUGUUAUUCAAUUAGCACUUAAAUUAAUCAUUGGUUAUAUAAAUUAAUGAGAUAGAUAUAUAGAAUAGAAAAUAAAUUUUAUUUCUUUCAAUUUAAGGAUUUUCAGAUUGAGGCAUCCAAAUUUCUACUCUAGAAAUUAUCAUUAGUUAGUUUUUAUGACAAUAUAGACAGACAAAAUUAAGGAAGGGAGAAAAAAAUGGCAUAAAAACCAAUAAAGGUUUUCUUUUUUAAAAGAAGAAAUUGAGAUUUUCCUAUUUUGAAAAAGUUCAUUAAAAGUAUUCAACAUUAGUUGCCUUCGCCGUAUUUACACGUUGUGAUUUUUGAAUAAUUCCCGUUGGUCAGCUGAGGCGUUGGGAGAUAGACCAUAUUUUUCAAGCUUUGACAGAUAAAUUUAUGGACGUUGUAUUUAUACCCUCGAUAGUGAUAGUAUAUACUUUUGAUGUCGGGAGAUUUCUAUCAACUAAAUAAUCAAUGAUUAUUUGCUCACCGUCACCGACGUAUGAUUUGUUAAAGCUUUUUCAAGUUUUUAUUUUUUAUUUUUUUGAACGUCAAAAACUUGAACUAUGGUUGGAAUUGAGCUGACAACUAUAAUUACCACUAAACUGUCUAUAAAUAUUAAACAUUAAUUGAUUUUGUUUAUACAUACUAAAUCCGUCGGUGACCAUAUUACUAGUCAAAGUCUAUCAGCGAUAGAUUAAUUAUGUCAUUAGUAAAAAUAUCAACAUUUAGAAUGUAUUAUUAUUGAUAAAUCUUUGUUAUAUUUGAAGUUCUCUUAAAACAACAUCUUACCUUCAUUCUCUCAUAAUUUUCCUAAUGUGUUUCUUAAUUUCUAACAAAACAACUCUACAUCCCAAACAUAAACUUUCUUAACUUCAACAUGUUAACUAUGGAAAAAACAACAUAUACAUCGAAAGAAUCGUACAUUCACAUAAAUUUUUUAUCCAUAUUUUUUUAUAAAACUUAAAAAAACGGGGAACCACCCCUACCAACUAAUAAUUAAAGGUCUCUUCUCAUUAACGAGGGAGACUGUUCAACUUGGACAACUAUACUUUUGCAAACAAAAGAAUCGGCAAGAUAGAAUACAAAGUAGAAAUAAAACGGGUUGUGUUUUGUUCUCCUCUCCAGGAGCAAAAAGAAACUUAACAACGUCCAUCGAGAAAAACAAAACAUCUAAAAUCUCGUCCAAAAACAACCAACCUCAAUAAAGGCGAAAUCAACACGGUUUAACAAAGGUACCAAUUACAAAAAAGAUAAAUUCAACUAUACAUUGAGGGUAUCUGAUUGCCACUACCCCCAAAGCCUUUUUCUUUAGCAAGUGGGUAUAAAUAACAUGUAAAGAAAAUUCAACUCUAUUAUGCAUAUGGUGUCCGAUUAUAAUGACACUCCAAUUAUGAAUAACACUUCUUCAAAGUUUCUACCUACUUCUUUUGGUGGGUAAGUUUCUACCUACUUAAGAAAAAUGACAGAAGAAAAACUAAUGAAAAAGAGAUUUUAUAAUAAACCUUGUCCACGGUAAAAAAAAAAAAAUGUUUUUCAAGAUCAUAUAUAUAGCUUUUUCAAUGUAUUAUAUCGUAUAUGACUAAAGAAUAAAUAUAAUUUUAUAUCUACAUGUUUGCAAUGUGUUUCAAAUUAAAUUUUUUAUAAUUCAUCUUUUUUUAUUACUUUAAUAUUUUUACUAAUAUUGGAUUAUAUAUAUAAUUCUAACAAAAAAAAAAGAGUAGAUUAUUUUUAAUUUAAUCAAUUUAGGGUUGGAAUCUUAGCAAAGCAAAAUAGGAAGGGACAUUUAGAAAAAGAAAGGCCAACUUUGAUUGACUAAGUCACAGUGAUUUAGUGGGGAUUUUUUAGAAAUUAAUAGCUUUGAAUGUUAAAUUAAUUGGUUCAAUCACCCAUUCAGUGAAUCUCUUUGUCCCCUUCAAGGCCUAUAGAAUUUAGUGUGCAUAUAAUUGCUAUCUCCACUCCAUUUUAAUUCAUGCACAUACCUAUAUUAAUUAACAUUAUUGUUCCAAUAUGGUUUCAUUCAUCAUCAUAUUUUCUUGGUCUUUUAACUAAAUUACAACUCCUCAAUAUUGGAAUAUAUAUAAGUUUUGAAUAUGUCUCCACCGUUUGAAAAGCUACAUUAUUUUGUUGGAGAAAUGUUACACCCUAUGUUGAAAUGAUGGAGAGAUAUUUAUAUAAAAUAUGAACGAGUAAUUUUUCUUCUAUCGUGAUCCAUUGAUUUGUAAAAGUUAAUUUAUAUAAAUAAUUUUAAAUAGUAUUCUUUUAUAAGGAAAGAAAUGAUAAUACGACAAUCUAGUCCAAAUAUGAUCGUCGAAGAGAUCACGUGGGACUUUCGUCGCAUAAUUUCCAACCAUCCUUUAGAAGUACUAAUAAGUCUUUUCUCAAAUAUAACAGUCAUCCGUCUUAGUUCAAUCAUGGAUCACACUUUGCUCAACUUUCAUAAAGCUCCGUUAAAUCUUUGUUGAUAUGAUAUUAUCUACCUUUUGUACAUAAAUUCUCAUAACUUUAUUUCUUGAUUUCAAAAAUCAAAAUGUCUCGUAUCAAUUAAGAUAGUUGUUUUCACUAAUCAUCUCUUUAUUUAAUCAACGUGUGACUUUGAUCAUAUUUCCAACAAAGUUAAAAUAAUAAAAUAUAUAUAUUCUUUCGAUUUUUCUUUUAUCAUUGUAUGUAUUUGUUGAUGAUUAACCAUAACAGUCUCUUUUCUUCCCAUCUUUUAAUGGGAUGAUAAUGAAUAAUAUAUAAGCUUUAAAUUUGUCAAUGUUUCAUGCCGAAUUUUUUUCCACCUUUUUAUAAAAAAGCUGAAUAAUUAAUGCAUAUAUAUACAACCUCAAAUCAUAUAGCUCUUCAAAAUAAUAAUUAAUAAUAAUAAAACUCAACCACAUAUGAUCCAAUUGAGGUUUAAAGUGAUCCAACUUCAAUAUUUAAUUAUCUAAAUUUUAUUGAAAAAAAUACAAAAACCCUUUUUUUUAUAAUAUAUUGAUAAGAGAAAUUAACAUUUUUGUAAUCAAAUUAUUCAAGCUUUAUAUAAUAUAAUUUUACAAAGAAUAAUGAGAAAUAAUGUCAAAAUUGUCACCCAUUUGUCAACUCUCUCAUACUAAUGUGUCCCAUCAUUGUCUUAUCUCAUAUCCUUCUAUUUUUUGUGGACAAUUUUAUUGUUUUCUUACUAAUAUACAUUUUAGAAUUACACUUCAUUUUCAACUCUCUAUAUUUUCUUAAUAUAUCCAUUUAAUUCAUAGUAUCAAUUUUACAUCCUAUCAUCCUUACUUCUUUUUCAAAAUCAUUUUCUACUAACCUUCUAGUUCUUACUUAGAGACCAUGCAAUGGUUAUAAAUUUUGUGUUGGUUUAUUUAGGCUUUUAAUUUACACUAUCAUCCUACUUCAUGUAAUUUAUUGUACCAAUUAAUAUUAUUCUCUCCAUUUACAAUUAUUAAUUCUACUGAUUUUUUUUUGGUAUAGAGUUUACUUUUUUUUUGUUUGCAUCAUCUUAAUAAUAUCCAACAUAUUUGACACCACCAUUAUAUAUCUUCCUCUGUAAGCAAAGAUGCUUCCAAUGGAUCUUUUCCAAUCUAUGGUGAAUUAUUAUUCAUGUUGCUUAAUUAACAUAAAUAUUUUAGCUAGUUGAAAUUAGUGGUUGGAUCACAAAGAUGAUUUCAAGGUUGGAACUAUGAAGUGGAGAUGGAGUUCGCAUAAUUAAUUGAACGAUCAGAAAGUAACUAAAGAUUUUUUAUAUUUCAAUAUUAACAUUUUAUAUUUUUUUAUAAAUACUCACCAAAGUUAAAGAAAUAUAUAUCAUCUAUUAGUCCUAUGUUAAUAAAAAAAAUUAAUUAUUAAUUUAAAUAAUAUUUUAUAAUUCAUAUAAAUAUUCAUCGACAUUGACAUCAAUAUUUUAAUUUUUUGGAGUACCGACCAUCUUUUAAGGAUUGUGAAGUUUUUUCACUUUUUCAAUGCAUGAGAUCUUGAUCAACAUGUCGUUUUAUGAUUGUAUCUAUUUAAAAUCACUAUAUAUCAUUAGAGUUGAUAUCUUUUCUUUUUAGUGAAGAAGUGUAUGUUUAGCUAAUUCAUACAUGGGAUAUAUUUGAGUGUUAAGAAAAAAUGGUAGAACGUUAAAUUCUAGAUAAUUUUUUUUGUUAUGUUCAUGAUUUUUUUGUUCGAUCAUCACGAUUAAUUUAGAGUUAAGGAAAUUCAAACGACCGCUCAAACAUGUAAGUAGAGAUGUUUUGAUUCUCCAUCCACUACUUGUGGUGGAUCAACAAGAAAAGAAAAUAAUAGUUAGAAGAUUAAAAAAUAUAAUCAGGUAGAUUCUCAUUCCUAAAUCAGUUUAAUUAUAAAUGAUCAUAGGUUGAUACUGAUGUUUAUUAGUGUCUUCUUCGAGUGGAAUUACAAGUGUAAUUCGUUUCCUUUCAAAUGGAUUUUAAAAGUCUUAAAAUCAAUACUGUGCCAAAUUAACUUUCAUUUAAAACAAAGGCUUCACCCUAAUCUAUAGGUAAAAAUAUAUCUUAUAAUACAAAGCUUUCGUAAUUAGUAAUCUUUUUUUUUUUUUGGUCUAAUUAGCAGCUAGCUAUGCCUUCAAUAUAUAUAUUUAUAAUUAGACAUUAGUGCUUAUUAUAAUUAUCUUUUGCAAAUGAAUUAGGUCUGAAAGCUAAUAUAUCUUUUGAUCUACAUUCAAUGAAUUAAUCAAAGGAAAACACUGAUUUAGCAUCUAUUUGGUAUUGGUUGUGCUAAGUUGUGCUUUCCAAAAACUAACACUUGCACAAAGUGAACAUUAUUUGUUAUGAACACUAUAGGAUAGAAAAAAUAGUGAUAUAUAUUAUUGUGGAAAUAUUAUCAACGAUCGGAUCGAAAGGUUAUAUAUGUGUUUAUGUAUAUAUUAAUCGAAAAUGGUUGAAAAAUCUUCUAUGUCAGGUCACCAAUAUAUAUAUGGAUAGAACAGGAUACAAUAUGAUGGAGAAGAAUUUGGACACACAAAUUUUGCAAAAAAUAAAAGAAAAUAUAUAUCUUUGAAUUACAACAUGGACAAAUUGUUGACAGGUUGUUAUAGAAGGCACCCACCAUGAGUUGAUGCUACAUAUAUUCUAGACAUGCCCUCAAUUUUAACAUCUUGUAUUCAAUUUUCCCAACAUUUAGAUUCAAAUAGAAAAUUUUCUUUUUUACCAUUAAUAAGAGAGAGAGAGAAAAAAAACCUCAUUUUCAAUAAAUAAAUUUUGAAAAAACAGUCACGACAAAAUCUAUACUGCUUUAUUAACCCUUACUUAAUUUUAACUUAAAACUUGAAUUGAUAUGGGAUUUGUUUUUUUGUUCAAAUUUUGUAAUUUAUAUUUUAACAUUGUUGUUAUAGUGAUGGACAUAAUACACAGAGACUGCAACUUUUCUUAUUAAAGGAUAAAGAUUCAAAUAAAAAAAAUGUCUAUAAUUUCUACCUCGCUUUCUUUAAAACGUCGUUAUUUGAAAUGAAACGUUUAUCAUUUAAAUCAAGCUAAUACAACUCUUGAUAUAUAAAAAUUAUCGCUAAUAGGAAAUAUUAAAGGUAACAAAAAAAUCUCAUCACAAAUUUCUUUCACAAAAAGAAUAAAGUAAUUAGAGAAGAGACAAUCAAAGAAUAUAUUUUAGUGUAAAAGUUUAACAUUUCUAUGUAAUAUUAUGUUAAUAUUCCUACGUUUAAAGUGUGCACUCUUUAGAAAAUCAUGAAUCUAUUCAAACAAAUUUGUACGAAUGCAUCAGCAAAUCUAUGAUUUGAAUUCUCUAAAAACAAAAUAGACCAAUAAAAAUUAGCAAUAGAAAGUUACUUUCUUAAAAAUAAAAAAUAACUUGGUUGUUGAUAUUAAUAAAUAUAAAAAUAAUAUAAUUUUUAGAAUAUUAAUAAAAAAAUAUUAAUGUGAAUUAACAAUUAAAAGUUAUUCAGAAAUAGAUAGAAAAGAAGACAAAGAUGGAUUGUUCAGCUCUUCCCCUUCCAAAUCCUAAAGGAUACUUAAAACAAAUAAAAUAACAUUCAAAACUAUAUUAAAUUUUUGCCCAUCAAUAGAGCAUGAAACAUAACAAAAUUUUCAAAUGUAAUUAAAAUACUUUUUCUAAGAACAAAGCGAAAUAAAAAUUUGGGUCCACACCUUCAUUUUUUUAAACUCUAAAAAAUAUUGUGUUUUCUCCUUCUUUUAUUUUAUAUAAAUCUUCUAAGAUUUUAAAGUAAUUUUGAACACAAAAGUAGAUUAAAAAAUUUGUCAAUUAGAUAAAUAAAAGUUAAAGUGCCCAACUUACAAAAUUUAAACUACAAAAAUAAGUUAAAAUAAACCUAAUUCAACUCACAUAAAUUAGGUAGGUUUCAUCAAGAUUAAUAUCAAAUCUUAAAAUUCUCACCACCAUAUUUAACUAAUAAACACAUUUGAUUCAAAUUUUGAUAAUAAUUUUAAAAAAUAUAUAUAUAUAUAUAGAAGGAGAAAAAUAAAUAAAUAUCGAAAGAAAAAGAAUUAUAGCAAAAGGGAUGAGAAUAUUUUUUAAAAAAAUGAAAAAGGAGGAAAUGAGAAAAUGAGAAUUUUAUAUGCAUAAUGUAAGGAAGAAAAUGAAAAAUAGGUAGGGAGAAAUGAGUGGGUAUGCAAUGCAUUGAAUGAUUGGGAAGAACAAAUUGAAGAUAGUGUUAAAAAUUCCCAAGUAGAACACAAACUCAUUAUUUAAUAUUAUUUGUGUAUACUUUGAUUUUUUUAAAGUUGGUUGAAUCAAGACACUCUCCCUCUGUGGCCCAUCCCAUAACCCCAACAUGCGCCUUAAUUACUCCCACACACACACAUAAGUCUCUCAUCCCCAUCCUCCACCAUUUUCAUUUCUCCCACCACCGUCUUUCCCCUCCAUGCUGCGGCGCCUAUGGAAGAGGGGGAGUUUUCUUAGAUACUUAUAACGACGAUGAUCGGGGUCGUUGGUUUUGAUGGUAAAGUUUUACGGAGUCAUCUGCGGCGUGGUUCUGGUGCUAUGGACGGCGGCGCUGGUGGUGCUUCCGGUGGUGUUGCCGCCGCUUCCUCCACCACCAUUGCUCGUUCUUCUUGUGCCUGUUUUGAUAUUGGGAGUUCUUGUUUUUUGUGCUUUCUCCACUUCUCAGCUGCCUGAUACGUACGGCCAUCAUCGUUUUUCCUAAUUAUAUAUUCAGUUUUCUUGUUUAUUUUUGUUUUUUCUUUUCUUCUUUCUAUUAGAGUUAUAUUAUAUAUCAUCGUUUUGUAUACCCUUUUUUUUCUUAUGUAUAUAUACCAAUUUUCUUGUUUCCUUUUCUGGGCUUUUUAUUUUUUCUUAUUUGAGUUUUGGUAAAAUGUAACGAGUAAUGAAAUGUUCAAUUUAAUUUUUUUUAUAAAAAAUCAAUUGUUAUAUAGCUAAUUUCAAACUUAAUUAGUCUCUACUUUUUAUCCUCACAAAUUGUUGUUUGAAAAUUACAUACAAAAACUCUAAACAAGGAAGAUUGUAUAGAAUUAAAAAAAAAAAAUUGAUAAAAUAUUGACUCUUUGUUCAUGGUUUUUUUCUUCCUUUGGUGUGGAUUUUUGUCAAUGUUUUUCUUUAAUUUAUUUAUUUAUAAAGAAAAAAACCCUAAAGAUCCUUUUGUGAAAUAUGUUGCAAUGAAGAAAACUUUAGAAGGAAAUUUUUGUUAAUAUUUCUAAUAGUUUAGUUAAGAAAUAAUUCGAACUUAAAUUGGUGUGUGUGUGUGUGUGUUUUAGUACUUGGAAAUUAUGAUACGAUUGAAUUUUUUAAGAUUAAUUUUUGUAUCAAUAAUUUUUUUUUCUUUUUUGAUAAAAUCAAUUGAUAUAAGUUGGUGAAAAUGGAAUAAUUAUUGGGGAAAAUUACACAUUUAAUUAAUUCCAAGAUCCAAUAUGUGGAUAUAGUGUUAAAAUUUUGAAGAGAAAAUAUGUGUUGAUGUGCAAGAAUUAAAAGUUUAAUUUUUCACUCUCUUUCUAGAUAAAGAUCAAUGGCCAAUUGUGGGUACACUAUUAUAUUAUACUUUCUUUUAAUGACUCUUUUUUUAAUAUGUUUAUUAACCAAGUUUGUAAUCUUUAUUCUUGCACCUAUAUAUACAUAUAAUGUUAUAUCACAUUAUAUAAAAAAGAAAAAUAAAACAACAAAACCAUUCAUGUAAUAUUACCCAAAUCAUUGCAUAAAUCCAGGUAGUACGUUGGAGGAUAAGCUUUUAAAUAUUAUUCAGCUAACUCAUCAUAUUUUUAUUUCUUAUUAGUUACAACAAAUAGCGAGCGGGAAAUUUAAAUUUAUCAAACUUCAACACUUGGAGUAUUGUCUUCCCCACUAACCUAAUUCUGUGUUCAUAUUCAAUCGUCUAAUAAACUAAAAUAAUAUUGCCACUUUAUUGAAUCUAAUGAAGAAGUAGGAUAAAAUAUAUAACUGAUAUAUAUAUAAUAAAUAAAGUACUUUAGGUACAUUUUUGUGUGUUUAAGCAGGUCACUUUUCUGCAUACACUACUCAUCAUAAUGUACUGUCUAUGAAAAUUUAAAUCAAAUGUCGAUGUAUAUCUAUAAAAAAGAAAAAUAAAAAUAUUAAUUAAAAAUAUAAAAGAGAUCAUAUGGACUAAAAUUUGAUGUCAUAGUAUAUAGAUAUUAUUUAUGAUAUGUCAAUCUCAUCUAUCAGUUGGAGAUUAUACAUUGAGUAACCUUAUUAGAAUUUCAAGUAUCUCCUUAGUGUGCUUCAUUGAAAAAUGGGCCAUUGGUAGAGAUAAUGUGUAUUUAUCCAUAUUUAUAAAGAAAACAAUUAAAAAGGAAGAGAAACCUUUUUAGUGCUCUAUAAAUUUUUAAAAUGUUAUAUACUUUGGGAGUUUUGUGGGUUUUAACUUUUACUUUACCUUUAAAUUUUGUAAGAUGUUCUAGAGUUACGUGUAGCUUUGAAGUUUUGAGGUUAAUUUUUUAAGGAAAAUUAUCGAAAAAUAAAAUAUUUAACCAAAUAUUUAUAUUUUAUAAAAGAAAUCAAUAUAAUAUAUUUUAUCUUUAGUGGUUUUUUUUAAGUAAAUAGUUUAUCAAAUUUCUUUAUGUAAAAAACUUUCAAUUUUUGGUUUGAUAUCUAAAUUUUAGAAUAAUGUUACUUUUUAUGAAUGAGUUUAAAGUAGUUAUUGUUGUUAGUGCUAAGUUUUUGUUAAUUAAUUUAAAAUAGUUAGAAUAUAGAUUUUUUAAUAAAUUAGUAUUCACUAAAAAAUAGUGAAAAUAAUUAAAUUAUAGAAAAAUGAAUACAAAUGACUAAUUAAAAUAAUGGACUUAAAUAAAAAGUCUUAAGUGUUAAAAUUGUAAAUUUUAAGAUGGAAAAACAAAUGAACAUUUGACUUAAAAUUUAGAUCAAACCAAACUAAUGGUAAACCAAAAUUUAGAUCAAACAUCAAUUAAAUUAUAAUAUUUUGAAACAUUGAAAACAAAUUGAAAUUUAUUCUCAAAUAUUAUUUAAGGAUAUAGUUAAGAAUAUCUUUUCCAAAUAUAACUUGCCAAAAUUUUACAUAAAAUUUAUAAAAUUGUUACAAUUUUUCAAUGUAUGUUAUGAUACACUUAAAUGAUAGGACGGACGAUGCAAAAAUACCAAAAACCAUGAAAAUAUAUUGAUUGGAAGGUUGCAAAAGUAAGAAUUGUCCUAAUCAUGAAGAUAGUUAUCCAUCCUAAGUAAAUUGGUAGGAGAUUAGUAUAUAAUUGUCUUAGUAGAAUAUAUCAAACAUUUCACAUAGAACGGUAGCUUAGAACCAUUCAAAAUUGAAAAUUAUGUAAACUUUUACAAAUUGAAAAGAAGAAAUUAAAUUUCUUUGAGCACAACAACUGCGAACCUGAAAAUAAAAAAUCAAAUAUUCAAUUUGUAGGUUAUAUAUUAUAAUACAAUCAUAUAUGGGUAGAUGGAGAUUUGAACCUACAUGAUAUAUUAACUACCAAAUCUAUAUUAUUCAAUAGCUGACAACACAUUAACUAAGUGGCAAACCUUUUUUAUUUUAUUUUUUAAACUAAGAAUGGGAAUAAAAUAGUUUCAAUUUUGAACAAUUUGAAUGUUUACAUUAGAUUUAGUAAUCAUUUUCUAACAUUAUUAUAAUAAGAGUAGUGGAUCCAAAUCUAUCAUCUAUAAAGAAAACUAUAUUAAUUAAUAUACCUUACCAUUUCAAGUUGCUUAUAGAUUUAAUUUGAAUUUAUCACUCUUAAAAAUAUGUAAUGUCUUCCUAUUUGGAGUUAUUCGAAAAGUGAGUUUAUUAACUAGUUUUUGUAGGUUGGCCAUUGUUCUUUAAAAAAUAAUUACUCUUUUUUCCAGAUAACAUAUAUAAUUAUAUUAAACUUUGUAUCUAUUUAUCCAAAUUAAAGUUUUGGUUCAUCAUCUCGAUCUUCAAGUUUUAUGUUAUUGAUUGAUCACAUAUCAUUGAAAUUAUAAAUUUAAUUUAAAAUUGUCAAAUUUUAUCAUAUAACCAUAAACUUUAUUUUUUAUCAAAGUAAAAUGACAUGGAACUCAAAAAUAUCAAAUUUAAUUAAAUAUUUACAAAUCAUACCAAAAUUUUAAAUUUUAUCAAUAACAAAUUAAUCCAAAAAUUUUAUUAUAGUUUUAAAAUAUUUUAAUUUAUUUUGUUAUUUAAAAAUACUCUUAAAUAAAAAUAAAAUUUAGAAAAUGAAGAUGGUCAUUGGUGACGUAUAUCUUAUGAAUAUUGUAAAAGAUGGAAGAAAUUAAUAAUUCUUUUAAAUUUUAAAUUUAGAGAAGAGAGAGAAAGGGAAAGAGAAAGAGGGGAGAGAAUUAAGGGAAAGUGCAUGCAUCUAAAAGAUAACAAUAAUCUCUUAAGCAUCAACUUGCAAAUUUGUUUUCAGUAAACUUGAGAAAAACUGCUUGGAAAAGCUAUCAAAACAACAGCGCAUGAGCUGUACUUUUAAUUAAACUACAUAAAGGAAUUUGCUGUAAUGUGCCUUUGCAAUUUGCUCAAACACACAUGCAUGUAAAUUAUAUAUUAUACUUUACUACGGGGUUCAACACUUUUCCAACUAUAUAAUGACAGAUUAUUCUUCAAGCUAAGCUGUACACGAGUAAUUGAAUAGUGUAGUAAUAAAUUAUAGCCUAACUUAUAUAGAUAGAUAUAUAUGUUCGAUCACUCUAUGUAUUUGUUUUCUAAUUCUUUAAAUAUAUAUAUAUUUCUUUUAUAUCUAAAGUUGCUAUAAAAUAACCAUUUUAGUUACUGUCAUCAAUAUCAAUAUUAAUCUGAUGUUCACCGACUUUGAAGUUUUAAUAUUGUCUUUAGAUUCAAGUACAGUUUCUACAACAAAUGUGAAAAUUGAAAAUGGAUUUGGAAACAAACAUGAUAACUUCAAAUAUAAAAACUAUAUAUUAAGCCCCUGGUUUUUAAAAUCCACUGACCUACAUACUGCUGCUGGGACAAAAAAAAAUGAAAAUCUAUGGUUAAUCUACGAAAUUUAAUUUCAACACAUCCUCUUUAGUUCCAAUUGAUGCGUCUUAAGCUAGGUUAAAAUGGGUGAUGAGUAUAUAACUCAAUUGGUUAAAAUGUAUUGCUCUCAAUCAAGAGCUUCAAAUAUUCAAAUUUCCGAUCUUUACUCUCGUUUAUUAAAAGUAUCAACUUUAUAAAAGGCUUGCCUGCAAUUUAAUUGACAAUGAAUGUGAACCAAACCACGAAAAUGGUUGAUUGAAUCAAAAUGGUUGUCUCUCACAAGAGCAAAGACUUGGUGUUGGUCAAAGUCAAGAAGAAAAUGGUAGUAGUUAUGCCCUAAUUUCAAGAGUGUCUUCCUAUCCAAACCCAUAUGAUGAUAUGGAGUAUGAAGCUAAUGGGUGUGAUGAUUAUAUAUAAUAUUUAGUUAUGAUAAAUAAUAAUAAUGAUGCUUACUAGAAUUUAUUUAAUAAUGUCAACCCCACAAAAUUACAUUAUGAUGUUUAGUGAAAUUUUAUGUAAGGAUUUUUCAAAUGAUGAAAGUGGAUUUUUGAAAUCCUGUUAAUUGGGUUGAAGAAUAAUCAAAUUGUAAUUGGUUUUUUUUAGUUUAUUGCCCAUCUAUUUUUCUACUUUUUCUUUCGUAAAAAGUAUAAUAACACAAGUUGUUGAAUACUCAAUUGUAUAUGCUUUUGGGGUGGGAGAAUUUUUCAAAUAUUUCAUAAUGGUUUGAGAGUAAUCUUUAGACAAAGCUUCGAGAAGAUGGGAAAAAUGUUGAUGUUUCAUUUUGAUGAAAAAUAUUUUUCUUUUUAAUUUAUGUAAAAUCAAAAUAGUGCUCUUCAAGUUUUUUUUCUUUUUAGUUUUAUAAAUAUAUUAUUAGGAGUGUAAAAUUUUUCAAAAUGGGAAUCUAUUUUUAAAAGUGAAAAAGUUGUUUAUGUAAAAAAAAAUGUUUUGAUUUUAGAAUUUGUCAAAGUUUGAAUGAUAAUUUUUGGAAAUAUUUAGUCAAUAUAGAAAUUCUAUUGAUGGUAUAGCUCGACUCGUGUCUAUAUUGAUAAAAUCUCAAGUUUUGUUUUUAUAAAUAUUUUGGUUCAAUUUUGUUAUAAUACUUAAAAAUUUCGGUGUAAAAAUUAUAGUAAAGAAAUGGUGAGAAAACAAAUGCAUAAGUUAUUUUAAUGCUUUUAAGUGUUGUAGAGUUCGACUUAAAGAAGUUGUAAUAUGAAUGAAUUAAUUUUUACAUUAUUUGAGUGACAAAAUCUUGAUAAUAUAUCUAAAAGUAUGGUCAAAUAAUUGUUAGUCACUAUUUAUACCAACAAAUUAUAUUUUUUUUACGAUAUAUCUAAAAAUAUGAAAUAUAUCUUACGUGUUGGUGAAAAAAGUGUUCGAUAAUUCUUACAAAUAAAUCAAAACAAGUAAUAGCUUUGUGAAUUAGUUACAACAAAGGAAAAAAUGUCAAAUCAUUUCUCCCAAAAUGUUUUAAGUUUUUUUAAUUAUCUUACAUAAAGGUGGCUUAAUCUCCAUUCCCACAAUCAUAUAAUUCUAUUGGAUAUGUUAUAAUAGGUCUAUUUGUAGAUAGAAACUGGAUGUUAAAUAAUAGCCCUAAAGAAAAAUAUUCCGAAAAAAGAAAGGUAAGUUUUGCUUUUGGUUCUCAUGCUUUAGAUUUAUUUCUAUAUUUUGUACAAAAUCUUGUCUCCCACACAUUGUCUUCCACUCCCCAAAGAGAAAGAAAAAAAGGCAUUGAUUUUGAUACAUUAGAGAAGGUAUUCAUGCAUCUAUAUUAUAAACUCAUCAUUAUGAUCAUAAUUAUUAUGAGACCCAUUUGAUAGACUAACAAAAAUGUUACUUUGUACUAAAAAGAAGAAACAAACCAAACCAAAAGAUUAAAGAAAUACUUAAAUUUAACUUAACAUCAACUUUUGUAUUGUUUAUUACAAAUAAACUACCUUUCUAGAUGUAUUAUUAAAAACGUAGUCAAAUUAGACAAAAUAUAGGAUCAACAAAUAAACACUAUACAAUUAAUGAUCAAUUAAUUAAUUAAAGAAAACAUAUGGUUUAGAUUUUAAAUAUAUAGCAAACAAAUAUAAAGUUGUUGUCAAGUGAUCGUCAAAUAUAAAUUGGUUGUCAAAGUAAUCAUUAAUGUUGGUCACAGGAGUGGUUGUCGUAGGACAUUAUCAUAGAAUUAGUUUGUUGUUAGAGGUAGUCGUCGUUGAAAUUGGACAUCUUGAGAGAAUUUUGGUAUUCACUUACGCAAAAAAAUAUGUGGGUGUGUCUUAAGAGAAGUGUGGGCAAAACCUUUGUUGAUGGUUUUUACGUAGACAGUUGACAUGUCCAAUAGCCUGUUGUCAAAGCUUCUGCCUACAUGUCGAGUCAUAAAGAAAUGACCAAGCAAGUAAACAUGUGUGGUUGAAACUCAUUAUGAAAUAAUUUGUGCAUGUAAAUGUCAAAUUUUCUUCUCAAGCUGGUUGUUAGAGACAAUCGUCACCAGGUGGAGUCCUUGAAAACAUGAGAAAGAAAUGUAAUUGAUUAGUUUAAUAAAUACUGUAGCAAAACGAGAAUAAAAUAAAUUUCUUACUCCAACUUUCUUAAUACGACAGACCCAAACGUAAAAUGGACUAAAGUUAGAGUCUCUGCCAUCAAACCAAAUAGGAUAUAUUUCACCACUAAGAAUUGGUCUAAAUAUACACAUUGGUAAGUGCAAAAUGAUGGGACUUUCACAACUUUUAUUAAGCAUGAUUACAUGGUGUUCUUUGUAAGUCCAUUUGUAAUGAAUGACAAUAAAAGCAAUGUGUUAUCCAAUCAAUCAAUGUGAAACCCUAAACCCACACCUUUGUUUCUUGUAAAUGCUUGUUAUCUCGAGUAUUAUAUAUUUUCAAUAAUUAUUAUUAUAGUUCCUACCAACAAUAUUUGUUCCUUUUAAUAAUUAUCUAUAGUUAGAAAUAAUUAGCAUUGUGUUUAGGGUAGCUACCCUAACCUAUUUCAUAAAUUUCUUUUCUUAGUUUUCAAAAUUGAAAUAUAUACUAAUUUUCUUUCGGUUUUUGUAGCAUGGUUUCAUUUUGGAAGUUAGCAAAAAUAGCAAAAAAAAAAAAAAAAAAAAAAAAAAAAAAAAAAAAAAAAAACUAUAAAAAAAAAAACUAUAAAAAAAUAAGCUUUUUAAAACUAUGAUUUAUAUUUCCUCUCAAUUUUUAUCACAUUUUCUAUAUUUUUUACUUAAAAAAUGUUGAAUUUUAAACCAAAUUUGUAUUUUUCUUUUUUACUUUACACUUAGAAUUUUGAAAAUAUGAAUAAAAGUGGAUAAAUGUGAAUAAACUUAAAUUUUAGAAAAUGAACAAUUUUUUUAUUUGUUGUUGAAUGAAUCCUUAAGCAACCAUCUUAAUUUGGAUCAACAUGAGCUCAGUUCAUUUGACACAUGGACAGUUUCGGUUCAAAUUCUUUUACUCUAAGUUGUAAUAUAAAAAACCAUUGUAAUAUGAGUUUAGUAAUUAAUGGAAGAAAAACUCUCUAAUUUUCACUAAAUUAAAUCAUAGGUUGAAAACAUUUUAUCUAAAAACAAACAAAAUUUUAGUACCUUGCUAUUACAAAACAUUUUUUCUUCUGAUAUACUGUUGCAAAAUAAAUAAAUUUCUCCAAUAUAUUUAUUACUUAAUGCAAGAGAGAGGUCAAAAGUGGUGACAAAUGAUUGUCAAUAUCAAAUUUAAAGAUAUCACCAUCAGGCUUGGUUCGAACAAAGGAUAUAAAAUAUAUAUUGUAUCUAUCAUUUAAGUAAAUGUUUUAUCUUGAUCAAUACUCUAAAUUUGGUUAGAAAAUAGGUAGAGAUUUUAGCCUUCAUAAAGAAAGAUUUCUUUCUCAAAUAUUAGAAGUAAUUAAUUAGGUGUAAGGAAUUGAAUUUCAAACAAAAUUAUUGAAAGGGUAAAAAGAAAGUCUCUUAAGUGAUGGAAUCAAGGGCACUACAAAAAAAAAGUUGGCCUACGUUGUCAAUUGAAAUAACUGAACACAUAUGUUUAAUGUCGGUUUAGAAAGUGAAUCGUUAAUGUCGAUUUUAGACUGACAUUAAAGGUAUCUUUCUUUAUAAAUUACCAACAUUAAAUUAAAGGCACCCUUUAAUACCCAUUCUAUUUUUGGAUGAACCUCUAAUACAUCAGAAGUAAUUAGGUGAAUCCCUAAUAUAAAAUUCUAAAACCCUAAAAUAAAAUCAAUUUGAUGACAACCAAUUCGAAGGCAAUGAAUUAGAUUUGGAUUACUUUUUUAUACACAAUAAGAGAUGAGAUGAUAAUUAAUUCCUCACUCUAGAUUUGAAACUCCACGAAAUAAUCAAACUUAUUGGAAUGUUUUUGGUAUGCAACCUUAAAUCAAGAAUAAUUGCAAAAUGAUGUUGAAAUAAUCUACAUCUACUAGAGAUCAUUUCUAUUGAUAGAAAAAAAAAAACCUUAAAAUUUCAAUUAUUCAAAAAACUUGAACAACUUGAAAGCAAGAUUCCAGGAGUCCGCCAAUAAAACCUCAUGCAUUAUGGUAAAAAGACAUAUAAAUUAAACUCUAUUUAAAUGAUAUUAAAAAUGAUAAAACAGUAAAUAUUAAAACUACGUCACAAUCAUUAAAUAAAAUCUAAUUAAUAAUUUGAUGUUUGGUUGAUUCAUAUCAUUCAAUCUAACAACACUAAUAAUUAUAAAUUUGUUGUGCGGAUUGUUUUUUUCCUUUUUAUUAAUUUUUUAAAAUAUUGCUCCGGAAAAAAUUCCAUUUGUCAAAUGUGAAAAGAUAAAAAUAAAUUUUUUAAGGCUUACUUUUCUUUUUAACUAUCAAAAUAUGUUUAGAGAAUUUAAACACUCUUUAAAAAGUAGGGAAAAGGAACAAUAUUGUUGAAGACAAACACCAAAGCUUAAGAAAAAUCUUACUAAUAGGAAUAUUAAACAGGGUCUAAGUUGAAAUAUCUUCUUGGAGUACUUUAUAUUAUAAUCAAUAUAUGUUUUUCUAGAAAUUAAAUUAAUAUCUAAUGUUUUUGUUGGGUAAUCAUUUAAUAUUUUUUAAAAUUUUAUUACAUUUUAAAAAUUAUUUAAGUAGAUCCAUAUUGAGUUCAUUGAUUUUUUUAAAAUUAAGCUUAUUAAUUAUAGAAACAAAAAAUAAGUUUUCAAAAACUCUUUUUUUUCCAUUUCAACUUUUUAGUUUUUUUUACAAACUUUAGUAAAAAUAGAUUGAUGCUAGUUUAAAGUUGAAAAGGAGGUGGGCUAUAGAUUUAACUUUUCUAUCUAGAGGCCGUAAUUCAACUAAUAAUUCAAAUGUUCUCUAAUAAAUCUAAAAAUUAUAGUAAAUAUAAUUGAGAAGAAUUCCAAAAAACAAGAAAUUAAAAACAAAAUUUAAGCACAAUUUAAUCUAACAUAAUCAAAUAUCAUACCCCAAAACAAACGUAUUCAUCCAAAAUUUCAAAUUUUGUAUAUACAAAAACACAAACAUAUUAAAAAAAGAGAGAAACUUUUUGAUGAUACGUACAAAGAGUUCUCUCUGCAUGGUUAAUAUAUAAAAUAUCAACACUGUAUAAUAUUCAAAAUUUACAGAUUAAUUACAACCUUCAGCAGCAAAUAAUCAUGACAGUGUUAGGGAUCCGUUGAGAAGAAGAGAAAGCCAAGAACAACAAAACACCCAAUAUCAAAACCGGCAGCCCGAGAAUCGCCAACGGUGGCGGAGGAAGCGGCGGCACCACCAGUGGCAACAGAAGCAAAGAAGCUGUCCACAGAAGUAAAACCAUCACUGAACUUAGACUGCAGAAGUUUACCAUCAAAUAUAGAUGACGUCGUAUAUGCCUCUUCUCUUGCCUCCUACGUCAAAACCGUCGUCGAAAGAUCUAACCAAAGAAAAACGUUAGUGAAAUUUAUGCAACCAACACUACAAGAAUUUUGGUCUUGAGAAAAACGUGGACAAAACCUCCACCGACGACUUUUUUUGAGUGGCCGGGAAACAUGGAAGAAAAAUCUUGAAUGAAAAAAUAAAACCUCUUUGUUGUAAGGAACGAUGAGAGUGGAAACGUCUGAAACAGCGUUCCGCACUCGAUCGUUUGCACCAUGGAAGGAGACAGGAGAAAGGGAUCGAACCACCACCUGUGGCCAACACUGGUGUCACGACUCGUCAAGAUUCGCCAUUGUUGCAGCCAUAUUCAAAGGGGGGUUUCUUUGUUGUUGGGUAUGGAAAAGGAACAAUGAAGUUGAAGGGGUGAAAGCAAAGGAAUCAAUUGAUUAGGUUAGGUGGGGUUGGAGGUUUGGAAAUAUAUAAGUAUUUUGUCUUUCAUUUUUUCUACAUAGGAAUGAGUCAAUUCAUAACCCACUAAGUUUCUCACAAAAUGUGUCUUGAUUCAGGUAAUUGAACUUAAUCUCAUCCCCUAUUUCAAAUUUAAUAAAUUAAAAUACUAAUUAGUAGUAAUGAUUCAACUUUAUAGCAUUUUUCUUUUUUAUUUAAAACUCUUCUUUUCAGUCCCCAGAUGCAUUAAUUAAAAAUGUCACUAUCAUAUUUAAUAUAUAAAUAAAUAUGUUUCGAAACCUAAUUUUUAUCAUUAGGUCGUGUGUAGUGAAUUUUUGUUAUUCCUUAACUAGAUGUUUUUUAUUAUUUAAAAAAAUAAGAUAAAUUGUCAAAAAAAAAUGAAGUGUAAUAAAAUUUUAAAUUUAAUUAAAAAACUAAUAAAAAAGAGAAAAUAUAAAGGUCUAAUCAUUACAAAAACAAAGAAAUUAAAGUAGGCAUGUUUAUGUUAUCUCACGUGCCUAUGAAAGAGUUUUAUAAAUUCUAAUAGGAUGGUUAAUUAUAUAUUUAUUUAUUUAAUCUAUAACAAUUAUGAUGAAAAGAAUACACUUGGAAGUUUAAGAUCAAAUAAAGUAAAAUAUAAAAUACUUUUUUAGCAAAAUAUAGUUUAAAUUAAUAUUCUUUUAGCAUGAUGAACAUGUAAAUAUGGCAUAGAUUCUUCACAAAAGACCAAUCCCCAUCACAUAAGACAAAUUAACAUUAUUAAUGGGUCAAAAUUCUUAUAUAUUAAUCAUGUAAACGGUUUGAAAUAAUUAAAAGAAAUUUGAAUGGAAGACCUAGAUGGUUAAAGUACUAGUAACUAUAUUUAUAAAUUUAGAUUAUAUCGAAAUGUGGGAUCCACCUCUAAAUAUGUAAUGUAAUCGUAUUUACUGAUAUGUUUACUAUGCAUUGUGAUUAUUUGUUAUUGUUAGAAUCAGAUGAUAACAACAGUGAUAGUCAUAACUAUUAACUAACUUAUACAAUAAAUUUUAUCAAAUGUUUCUUUAGGUUCUAAAGAGACGUUAUUUUUUAAAAAGAAAGAAAAACAUAAUAUUAUACAGUAAUUUGUGAUUGAACGGUAAAUAAAGCUACCUUUAUAUGUGUGUUAUUUUUUCCUUUCUCUUUGUUAAUUUUAUAUCAAUACAAUCAAAUUAAAAAUUACUAUAUUUUCAAACAUAUAGUAAAAUAAAUUAAAAUAUUUAUAAAACAUUAUUGUCCGUUUAUAAUAAAUUGCAAUAGACAAAUAUAGACUUUUAUCUAUGUCUAUCAUGGUCUAUCAAAAUCUAUUACAAAUAAAUUGUAUUAUUGUUAUAUAUUUACAUAUAUUUUCGAAAGUUUUAACAUCUAAAAUCAAUUUUUUAAAUAAAACUAAAUAAUAGUUUUGAUUUUUUUCCAAAAUAUCAUUAGUUGAAAUUAAAAAAUAACAAAUUUAACGGUUGAUAAUUAUUUUAUAAAAUAAAAGAUCAAAACUCGUCUUCUAAUACCUAAUCUAAAUUAUAUAUCAAUUAAAUCAUGUUGCCUUAUACUAAACUAAUUAUUUUAGAUGUAAAGUAUUCCCAUUUAUGGCAUCGUAAAACGUUGGCUCAAGUCUCUUCACAAAUUCAGAUUUUCUCCUUUAACUAAAAUAUUUAUAAAAACAAAAUAUCAGUAUGUACCAAUAAAUAUUAUCGUCUAUCAAUAAUAGACAAAUAUAUUAUUAUGUAUUUAUAAUUAAUUUUAUUAUUUAAAACAAUUAUUUUAUAACUUAAUUGGUUCAAAUGUUUUAUCGUUCUUUCAUAUAUAAGGUCUGUUUAUGUGUAGUUUCAAAAAUCGUUAAAAGAGUGUUCUUAUUCCUUCAAAAUUAAUUUUAAUAUCAUUAAAAGUACAUUUAAGUGUGUAAAAUUGGACAUUUACGUCAUUUUGAGUUAUGAAAUAUAUGCUUUAAAGUGAUUUUAAUCAUAACAAGGGUGACUCCACAAUUUCAAAAUCACAUCCAAAAUAAAAUUGGAAUAUGGACGAGUAAGUUGGUUUACACAUCUUCUGUUCCUAUAUAAUUAUUUUGAGAUACAAAAUAUCCAGUAUACAUAGAAGUUGUUUUUUUUUCGGUUAUAAACAAAUACAUAAAUACUACUAAGUCCAAACAUUUUAAGAGUGAAGAAUUUAAAAGUUACUAAAAACAUUACGAACUAAAUUAUAGACAUGACAUAAAAAUGAGUUUAAUUCAAGCCAUAAAAGUAUAUUUAUAUUUAUGAUUGAGGUUUAAAGUUCAAAUCCUUUCCAAUUUUAGUUUAACCUAGUAAAAAGAUAUUUAUAUAUGUUAGUAAUCAAUUUGAAAAUUAAUUUACAUAUUUUCUUAUUCACCAAAUCAAAUAGUUAAUUUUUCUUCCAGCAUCCAAUCAUGCUUUAGUAAUCUCAACCUUAAACAAGAAUAAAGUAAAAAGGAAGUUUACAAAAAUAGAAAACAAGAAUAAAGUAAAAAGGAAGUUUACAAAAAUAAAAAGAAAAAAAAAAACUAUGAUAGUAGAGUCCACGUCACCUAAUGCAAUUUUUAAAAAUAAAAUAUAUAUACAACAUUUUCAUAUUCUAUUUUUGAUAAAUCAAAUUAUAUGUAAUUUGAACAAGGCUAAAGUUAUGAUUCCUUUUCGGUUAACAAGAACUCGAGGAGAUUUCAAUUAUUUCAAUCUUAAAAGUACUUUGAAAAAAUGAGACUUCAAAUCGAAGGGUCACAUUUGUUUGGAAAUGAUGGCAGAUGUGAUGCAAAAUAAAUAAAGUUUGAUUGUUCAAACCAUUAAUUUUGGACCUCUUAUUUA